AGCAGCUUGGCGCAGUGGAUAGCGUGUUGGGCUCAUAACCCAGUGACUCUCUGAAGCUGAGUGAGUCGCGA